CUGUGCUUCAUGUCUCAGCAGGGUCCCUGUCUUUCUGAUCCAGAAAGGAAACAUUCUUUAGAGCAUCAAAGUGAGGAACUGGAUUCAGUUGAAUUUUCACAAUCCGGACAGGGAUUGUUGGAGGUUCAAAUAAAGACUUCCACAAAAUCACAGUGUAAAGACAAGAAGUCAGAAGGCAACAAACACAGGCCUGAGAAAAAAAAGAAAGGAAAUGUAAACAAAGGCAAGGGAAAUCCCCAGAACAACAGAGGUUCUUGCAAGAAUCACUGCGGAAUUCCAUCUCAUAGAAAGCUGGGUGUUUCAAACGCCAGAUGCUGCAUGAACAACAUCACCAACACUCUGAAAAAAGGGAACCGUGAUGACGUCAUUGGUGCUAUUGAGUCUUUGGAGCAAGUUCUGGAGAGAACAGACGUCAACGAGACGACGCCGAUGUCCAGCGACAACGUGGUGGCGCUUCUGCACAAACACCGAGGCCGCUUCCACGGUCUCCGAAUCUCUGCCAGCGACAGUGAGGCGAUGCCUAGCCGAGCGGUCGCAAACAGCCGAGUGAGCGUCUGGCUGCCGGCGGAGCUGAACCCGACGCCGAACGACACCAUCGUGUUCUGCAUGCUGAACGUGAGCGAAGGGUCUUUAGGUGGAUCCACGAGGCUGUACGACAGCAGACUGGUCGGCCUGAGUCUGGGGAGGACCGUUUCAGGACUCCAGGAGCGUGUAAACAUCAGCAUGACGCUGACCACCAGCAUCAGCGUAACUACGACUUCUUCUCUUACCUUCUGCAACCUUUAUGGGAUAAAACAAACAUAA
rnacentral:lncRNA from 1 species